rnacentral:snoRNA from 10 species
GAUCAAUGAUGAAACCUAUCCCGAAACUGAUCACCUGAAGAAAAAAACAUGUUACGGAUUCGGCUUCUGAGAU